rnacentral:lncRNA from 1 species
AUUUUUAUUAAACUGCUAAACAUACUAUGUUAGGUUCCAUACAUGAUUAAACCACCAAAAGAUAAAGGUCUUGCCAAUCUAAUGUAUUUACAUGCUUAUUUUCUUUGAUUAGAUUAUAAGCUUUCUGAGGUCAGAGACAUUAAAUCUUGAUAAUUCUAUUUUUUCCUGUUAUAAACAGCAAGUAAAGCACCUUGCAUGUAUAGUACUUUAGUAAUGAUUUUAUAUUAUCUUAUUGCAGCAGUGUCUACUGUUGCCUCUUAUCUUUUAUCCAGAUGAGCAAAUGACAGUUUUGGUCAUAAUGUAGUUACCCCAGAUGUAUUUGUGCUACAGCUUUUAUUUUUUAAAUGCUCUUUUGUUAGAGUAGUAGUUUAUAAGACUUAUUUGGGGAUGGGGGUCAGUUGCUUCAGACUCAGGUGGCUUUCCAACUUGUAAAUACAAUUUUCAGGCUGGAUGAUUAGCAUGCAUCAAGCAUCCCUUCCUAUGAACUCUAAAUAAAGCAGAUUUAUUGCAUAUUCUGUGGCCCUCUGUUUUAGCACAUUGGAAACCUUAGACUCAAAUAGCAGUGAAAGGAUAGUUAUUGCUGAGCUCAGAAGUCUUCCCUGCCAAAGGUAGAAUGUAAUGUGUUCUGUGGUAAUAGGAUUAUUUUGUUUGACCAGGUGACACUGUUUAUUUCUUAUGAAAAAUUUUGAUAUACUGCUUUAAAAUUUAGUAAGAUGGAUGCAUAAUUUAUGCAGUGAAAUUUGAAAGGUUUUUCAAAAUGAUAAGGCCAAACCUAAGCUAAAUGAGGGGGUAGGCAUUCUUUAUAAUAAAGCUGUUAUACUCUGCCCAGCUAGGCCAGUUAUCCCUAGAUGCUACAGAUUAAUGGGGC